GGGAGAGAGAAGUGGAAUUCCAGGUGUAGCGGUGAAAUGCGUAGAUAUCUGGAGGAACAUCAGUGGCGAAGGCGGCUUCUUGGCCCAAUACUGACGCUGAGGUGCGAAAGCGUGGGGAUCAAACAGGAUUAAAUACCCUGGUAGUCCACGCUGUAAACGAUGAGAACUACACGUUGGAAGGAUCUGCCUUUCAGUGUCCCAGCUAACGCGAUAAUUUCUCCGCCUGGGGAGUACGGCCGCAAGGUUGAAACUCAAAGGAAUUGACGGGG
rnacentral:rRNA from 1 species